CUCUGACUAGUACAUUUAGGCCACUCC
rnacentral:piRNA from 1 species